AUUGAACGCUGGCGGCAGGCCUAACACAUGCAAGUCGAGCGAGCGGCGGACGGGUGAGUAAGGUAUGGGGAUCUGGCUGAAAGAGGGGGAUAACUACUGGAAACGGUGGCUAAAAACGCAUACUACAGGAUGAACACAUAUGGGAUUAGCUCGUAGGUGGGGUAAAGGCUCACCUAGGCGACGAUGUCUAGCUGGUCUGAGAGGAAUAUCAGCCACACUGGGACUGAGACACGGCCCAGACUCCUACGGGAGGCAGCAGUGGGGAAUUUUGCACAAUGGGCGCAAGCCUGAUGCAGCCAUGCCGCGUGUGUGAAGAAGUCCUUAGGGUUUUAAAGUACUUUCAGCUGGGAGGCGUUACCCGCAGAAGAAGCACCGGCUAACUCCGUGCCAGCAGCCGCGGUAAUAC
rnacentral:rRNA from 1 species